rnacentral:misc_RNA from 1 species
UCUCCGUAGGUGAACCUGCGGAGGGAUCAUUACUGAGUGAGGGCUUCGGUCCGACCUCCAACCCUUUGUGAACACAUCUUGUUGCUUCGGGGGCGCCCCCGGAGGCCAUUAAACACUGCAUCAUUGCGUCGGAGUUAAAGUAAAUUAAACAAAACUUUCAACAACGGAUCUCUUGGUUCCAGCAUCGAUGAAGAACGCAGC